rnacentral:lncRNA from 1 species
GUGGCCAGCAGGAAGUCGAUGAGGGAGCUUGAAGAUAUCUACCAAUGUGAAAUUAAAUACUUUAUAAUAACAAGCAUCCAACUUGAUAAAUCUCAUUUAUUGACUUGGCAAGGCUUUUUUUUUUUUUCCUGACAACCUUUUAUUUGAUAAAGGGGCCUUCAAAAUAGAAAUCAACUUUCCAACAGAGUUUCCAAACCUGCAAAAAAUACUUAAAACAUAAAGUUAUCACCAUAAACUUGAUGAAAAAGGACAAGCCUGUCUUCCAGUAACUAGUGUAAAAAACUAGACACUAAUAACUAAACUUGGCCAAGUAGUCCCGUACCUCAUAUUACUGGUGAAAGAACUCAGACCUAAGCAUCUCCCUCACGCUGAUCUAGUUGAAGAAUAU